rnacentral:rRNA from 1 species
AUUGAACGCUAGCGGGAUGCUUUACACAUGCAAGUCGAACGAGUGGCGGACGGGUGAGUAAUAUAUCGGAACGUGCCCAGUAGCGGGGGAUAACUACUCGAAAGAGUGGCUAAUACCGCCUACUAUGGGAAGGGCCGAGAUGGGAUUCGCUAGGUGGUUGGGUAAAGGCUCCCCAAGGCAACGAUCCGUAGCUGGUUUGAGAGGACGACCAGCCACACUGCGACUGAGCAACGACCCAGACUCCUACGGGAGGCGGGAGAGGGGAAUUUUGGAUUAUGGGAGAAACCCUGAUCCAGACAUCCCGCGUAUAUUAGAAGGCCUUCGGGUUUGAGAGUACUUUUGGCAGAAAAUCGGUAUUUGAUGAAUAAGCACCGGCUAACUACGUGCCAGCAGCCGCGGUAAUUC